UGAUAUAACAAAGUACAUAUAAACGAGCCUAGAUUGAAACUUUAACAAAACCAAAUGCAAAAGAGUCCAAAUACU